rnacentral:lncRNA from 1 species
UUAAACCCAAGCACUAUACUCCAAACCCUACACUUUAAACAUAAACACUACACCUCAAAUAAUAAAUCUAAACAUAGACACUAUACUUAAAUUCAGAAUCCAUAUUUUUCAAAAUUAAAUGUCAAACAUUAAUUAUAAUCUCAAACCUUAAUCCCUUAACUCCAAAACCAAAAUCCAAACCUGAGUACCCAAAAUCCAAACACUAAACUAAGAUCCAACACUUCUAAUCAUAAAUCACACUUUAACUC